GUUUGACCUCAGACUACCCAGAUGGCCAGUGCCAAGGUUAAUGCAGCCACUGGAUGCAUCAGGUCAGCACUCAGCGAUGACUGGCAGUUGUAGUGCUGUGCUCAUUUGCCCACAGAGAGCUCUUCUGAGCAUCUUCUGUGCAUCCGGCAGCCUUGUACCAGAGCAGUGAGGCAGCCAUGUGUCAUCCUUGGCUGGAGGGGAACAUGACUACACUAGGUAGGCUCAUCUUCCCGUUGAGCUUCUUCCUGACCUGGCCUGGAGAAAUGAAUGAGUUUCUAGCACAUGCAGACAGUGCACACACCAAAUGCCUCUCUGAAGUUGGUUUUUCUCCCACAAAAAGCCUACCAACUGAAACUAAUGUUGUUUUUUUCUUUUUGUCUCAAGGAAUUGUGGGAACGUAUUCUGCUCCAGUUGUUGUAACCAGAAGGUUCCAGUUCCCAGCCAGCAGCUCUUUGAACCCAGUCGAGUGUGCAAGUCUUGCUAUAGCAGCCUCCAUCCCACAAGCUCCAGCAUUGACCUUGAACUGGAUAAGCCUAUUGCUGCCACUUCAAACUGAAGCUCAGUGACCUGGGGUGACAGAGGCCAUGCUGCUGUCCCUGUAACAGGCUCACACACAGCCUGGGCAGUCCGAGAAGCCCAUACAUUUUGGAUGGGG
rnacentral:lncRNA from 1 species